rnacentral:misc_RNA from 1 species
UUUCCGUAGGUGAACCUGCGGAAGGAUCAUUACAGUAGUCACCCAGGUUGCCGCAAGGCCUCCUGGGUAACCUACCACCCUUUGUUUAUUACGCUUUGUUGCUUUGGCAAGCCUGCCCUCGGGCUGCUGGCUCCGGCCGGCGAGCGCUUGCCAGAGGACCUAAACUCUGUUUGUCUAUACUGUCUGAGUACUAUAUAAUAGUUAAAACUUUCAACAACGGAUCUCUUGGUUCUG